rnacentral:misc_RNA from 1 species
UUUCCGUAGGUGAACCUGCGGAAGGAUCAUGAUCAAAACAGCGGACUUCGGUCCUUGCUGCACCCUUGUCUUUUGCGUACCGUAUGUUUCCUCGGCGGGCUUGCCUGCCGGUUGGACAUUAUCAAACCUUUUUGUAGUUGCAAUCAGCGUCAGAAACAAAACAAUAAUUGAAACUUUCAACAACGGAUCUCUUGCUUCUGGAAUCGAUGAAGAACGCAGC